GACGAACGCUGGCGGCGUGCCUAAUACAUGCAAGUUGAGCGCUGAAGGUUGGUACUUGUCCCAACUGGAUGAGCAGCGAACGGGUGAGUAACGCGUGGGUAAUCUGCCUUUGAGCGGGGGACAACAUUUGGAAACGAAUGCUAAUACCGCAUAAAAACUUUAAACACAAGUUUUAAGUUUGAAAGAUGCAAUUGCAUCACUCAAAGAUGAUCCCGCGUUGUAUUAGCUAGUUGGUGAGGUAAAAGCUCACCAAGGCGAUGAUACAUAGCCGACCUGAGAGGGUGAUCGGCCACAUUGGGACUGAGACACGGCCCAAACUCCUACGGGAGGCAGCAGUAGGGGAACUUCGGCCAUGGACGAAAGUCUGACCGAGCAACGCCGGGUGGGUGAAGAAGGUUUUCGGAUCGUAAAACUCUGUUGGUAGGGAAGAACGUUGGUGAGAGUGAAACGCUCAUCAAGUGACGGUAACUAAAGAGAAAGGGACGGCUAACUACGUG
rnacentral:rRNA from 1 species